GACCCAGUGGCCUAGUGGAUACGGCACCAGCCUUUGGAGCUGGGGAUUGUGGGUUUAAGUCCCACCUGGGUCA